GUGCUCUUCAUAGUGGCAUAUACACUAAAAUUGAAACCACACAUGAGAGAUUAGCAUGGCCUUGCACAUAAAGGACACAAAUAUGUGAAACAUUCCAUAUUUUU